GACGAACGCUGGCGGCGUGCUUAACACAUGCAAGUCGAGCGGUAAGGCCCUUCGGGGUACACGAGCGGCGAACGGGUGAGUAACACGUGGGUGACCUGCCUCUAGCUCUGGGAUAAGCCUGGGAAACUGGGUCUAAUACCGGAUAUGACUCCACGGCGCAUGUUGUGGGGUGGAAAGCCUUGUGUGGCUAGAGAUGGGCCCGCGGCCUAUCAGCUUGUUGGUGGGGNGAUGGCCUACCAAGGCGACGACGGGUAGCCGGCCUGAGAGGGCGACCGGCCACACUGGGACUGAGACACGGCCCAGACUCCUACGGGAGGCAGCAGGUGGGGAAUCUUGCGCAAUGGGACGAAAGCCUGACGCAGCGACGCCG
rnacentral:rRNA from 1 species